GGACGCGGUGGCGCUUUACCCUGGCAGCAGCGGCCGGUGGCAGCCCGCACCUUCUGUCAGCACUUUCAGAAACGUCCUCCUGGGGCCGGAGGGUCACACCAGUAACAGCUGGGAGGCGCCCCUUUCUCAGCUGCCUGAGCCUUAGCCUGCAGUCGCCUCCACUAAAGAAGCAGCGCUCCCUCCUCCACAGAACUGUACACAGCACCUCUCCUUCCCCCUCCUGACCAAAGAAAAAAAGAGUGCAGAAAAAGAGUGAAAUCCAAAUAAGAUUAUUAGGUGAGUCAAUAGUACUGUACCAAUGUCAAUUUCCUGGUUUUCACAAUAUACUAUAGUUAUGUAAGCUGUUCUCUUUUGGUGAAGUUGGGUGAAGAGUACACAGAAC
rnacentral:lncRNA from 1 species